rnacentral:rRNA from 1 species
AAACCGUUCGGGGGUAAACGGACAGAGCCCGUGAAUCCGGGCGACGGAAUUCAGAAUCGACGGCGUUCGCGCGUCGUCGGUUCGAUAUUUCCGUCGCCGACCAUUUACACGGACGUCGCGACCCGUUCGGUGUCGGUCUGCAGGAGACGUGCGAAAGUUCGUGUGCGUUCGCCGGGGUUUCGGCCUCGGCGGGCGUUUCGCGAGUGCGCGUUCUUUUCUGGCCGACUCGCCGGACGGUAUGCGAAGCGGUGAUCGCGGCGGCCUCUCGUCAGCGCCGUCGCGUUACCGGUCUGCGACGAAUCUUCGGGCCUCUUUCCGA